CUAGCUUACUUAUUGUUAAACUUGGUUUAUUUAAACUUGGUAAAUGGUGGGUUAUUGCCUAAAUUAGGCUGGCUGUAUGAGAUACUUUAAUAGUUUAAUCUCUCAACAGUAACAAACAAAACCAAGACUGAGGGCAAACACUAUCUUUACCUGGCUGUCCAUGAAUGCAGGUCUCAGGGAGACGUGGAUGCUGCUCUGCAGGGUGCUCGAUUUAAGUGCAUUAACCGUGAGCGAGGGAUUAACAAGGGAGGGGCAGGGGGUCUUCUGUUGUUCACCACAGGUGUGUUUUGGCCUUGACACAGCUGAGUGAACACUGUGAAGCUGUUUGAUGCUCAGAGAUCUGUAGAAGUUUGUAGUCUGAAGUUUGAUAACCACAAAUUUGUACUGCAGUAGUACUUGAGUUGAUGUACUAACAGCAUCUUAUUUACUCAGACUGCCAGUAAUCAAACUUGACUCACAGCAAACUGUCGCAUCCUAUGGACAAUCAUUCUCACACUGUAGCCUCCAGACAUGACAAGAGUAACAGUACAUGUUAAUGACUGCCAUGAAAUUAAAGCUUAGCUCAACCUCACUCACUCUGACACAGCUGAGUGAACACUGUGAAGCUGUUUGAUGCUCAGAGAUCUGUAGAAGUUCAAUAAGGAGUUUUUGAGCUGUGAUGUGAAUGAACGACAACAUUUCUCUGUAACAUUUGUGUGUGUGUGUGUGUGUGUGUGUGUGUGUGU